CUUUCCACCCGAGCGCGAGGUAGACGCCGGGGCCACCCGCAGCACGCAGAGCUUCUGGGAGCCGGUGGCAAGGCCGAAUUGGGAUGCAAACCAAAUGGACGUGGGUGACUGGCAGAAAACGCCUCCCACAAAUGGGAGGGAUUUCGGAGGGAACCGAAAGAAAGUUGGAACUACUACAGCCACCCCAACCUUGAGCAACCAUCACUCUGAUCAAUCAGCAGCCAUCAACAUUGAGACAAGACUCUCCACCAGCAAAAAGAUUAUGACUUGUCCGGGUGCGGUGGCUCACACCUGUAAUCCCAGCACUUUGGGAGGCUGAGGCAGACAGAUCAUCUGAGGUCAGGAGUUCGAGACCAGCCUGACCAACAUUGUGAAACCUGUCUCUACUAAAAAUACAAAAAAUUAGCCGGGCAUGGUGGUAGGCACCUAUAAUCUCAGCUAUUUGUAAGGCUGAAGCAGGAGAAUUGCUUGAACCUGGGAGGUGGAGGUUGCAGUGAGCCGAGAUCACAUCAUUGCACUCCAGCCUGGGCAACAAGAGCAAAACUCCGUCUAAAAAAAAUAUAUAUAUAUAUAUGACUCACUGAAGGCCCACAUGAUCAUUCGCAAUUUUUAGCCAUAACGUAUUUUUAAAAUUAAAGUAUAUACAUU
rnacentral:lncRNA from 10 species